rnacentral:rRNA from 1 species
GAUGAACGCUGGCGGCGUGCCUAAUACAUGCAAGUCGAGCGAAGCGGGGACGGGUGAGCAAAACGUGGAAAACUCCCUAUCAGACUGGGAUAACUUCGGGAAACUGGAGCUAAACCGGAAACUUAUAGAUAGCACCGCGCUGCAUUAGCUAGUUGUUAAGGUAACGGCUUACCAAGGAACCGAUGCAUAGCCGACCUGAGAGGGUGAUCGGCCACACUGGAACUGAGACACGGUCCAGACUCCUACGGGAGGCAGCAGUAGGGAAUCUUCCGCAAUGGGCGAAAGCCUGACGGAGCAACGCCGCGUGAGUGAUGAAGGUCUUCGGAUCGUAAAACUCUGUUAUUAGGGAAGCGGUACCUAAUCAGAAAGCCACGGCUAACUACGUGCCAGCAGCCGCGGUAAUUC